AGCAGCCGCGGUAAUUCCAGCUCCAAUAGCGUAUAUUAAAGUUGUUGCAGUUAAAAAGCUCGUAGUUGAAUUUCGGGGUCAGUAGGUUGGUCGUGCCACCGGUACGUACUGGUCUCACUGAUUCCUCCUUCCUGAUGAGCUGUAAUGCCAUUAAUUUGGUGUUGCGGGGAAUCUGGACUGUUACUUUGAAAAAUUAGAGUGUUUAAAGCAGGCUAACGCUUGAAUACAUUAGCAUGGAAUAAUGAAAUAGGACGUUCGAUCCUAUUUUGUUGGUUUCUAGGAUUGACGUAAUGAUUAAUAGGGAUAGUUGGGGGCAUUAGUAUUCAAUUGUCAGAGGUGAAAUUCUUGGAUUUAUUGAAGACUAACUACUGCGAAAGCAUUUGCCAAGGAUGUUUUCAUUAAUCAAGAACGAAAGUUAGGGGAUCGAAGACGAUCAGAUACCGUCGUAGU
rnacentral:rRNA from 1 species